CCUGAAACCAAAUGAGCUACCUAAAAGGAAUUUUAUGAAAGGAAUUUUAUGAAUGAACCCAUCUAUAUUGUAAAAUAGUGGGAAGACUUCUAGGUAGAGGGGGAAAGCCCAACGAGCUUGGUGAUAGCUGG
rfam:Cricetulus griseus cell line CHO-K1, whole genome shotgun sequence.